rnacentral:rRNA from 1 species
AUGCAAGUCGGACAUAGCAUGUAUACUACCCAGACAAUGGCUUGGUCUGCACUCUGCAGCCAGCACGCUCAACAGACGCUCGCGCCGGCGGCCUCCACCGCGUUCGGCCUCCCUCGCUCCUCUCCGGGCUGCGGCUCCCCCGGCCGCCCCGUACGCUGCUCCACCAAUCGCUGCUCCACGACCAGGGCCGUGGCUACUUCAACGGUCAACGCCAUGGCCCCAAGCGCCCUCCUGCGCUGCUCGGCCUCUAUCUCUCGCCACCACCAGCCCGCCACGCCCGAGCGCUUCCACCGGCGGCUCCCCGCGCAUCGCUCCGCCCGACCACCCCGGUCUCUGCCUCACCCGGCUUCGUGCGUGCGUGCGCCCGCCGCCUCCACCUCGUGGGCGCUGAGGCCCGCGCGUGCGUCUCCCAGUCGCAGCGCUCCCUCUGCUGCGCGUGCGCGCGUCCCCUGCGGCUGCCGCGACGCCCUCCGCGGCCGGCUUCUCCUCCGAGCCUCCGCUCUCCUCCGACUCGGCCGCGACCCGGCCACGCCAGCGUCCACCGACCCGGCCACGCCGUCUCGCGCCCGCAUCCCGGCCGUGUGCACCUCUGCCGCCUGCGCCACAUCCUCACCCGCCCUCCGCGAUACCCGGCGUCCGCCUCCUACGAGAGCACCGGCCCGGGCCGACUCUGAGUCGCCCCUGGCCGGCUCCGUCUCGCCGGCUCCAUCGCGCCUCGCGCCGGCCCCGCCAGCAGCGCCGGGUCCGGCCUCCCGCGCCUCCGUGCCGGCUCCGUGCCCGCGCCCUCGCUGGCUCCUGGGUGGGCCGCCUCGUCCCGCCCCGCGACCGGCUUCCCCCGCCUCCGCGCGCCCGGCCUGGACCGGCUCCGGGUCACCCGUGCCUCCCGCCGGCUCGUGCCGCCGUCGCCGCCGAGUUACCACCCGACCGUCUCCGUGCACCAACCCCGGGCCAGCUCCGGGUCGCCGACCGUCCGCCCAGCCGGCUCCGACCCCGCCUUGCGCCGGGUCGCGCCGGACCUCCGCUAACCGAGGCCAGCUCCGGCCUCUCCUCGGCGCUCCCCCGCGCGCCCUCGCCGGUUUCCUCGCAGCCUGGCCUGCCCGGCUACGCCCGCGACGGCUCCCCCCUCGACCCGGCCCGCCGGCUCUGCCUGCGCCGGCUUCUGCCGCAUCCGCGCCCGCCGGCUCCACGCGACCCGGCCGCGCGCCCGUUCCGCGCGACUCGGCGCCGUCCGGCGUCCUCGGUGGCCUCCCGCGCUGGCUGGCUCACGCCCGCAGGGCCGGCUCGCCUCCCUGGACGGCCGGCUCCGUCCCCCGUCCGGCGACCCGGCCGCUUGCCGGCCCCGCCCGCAUCUCGGCUGGCCGGCUAGCCGCGCCCGUACGGGCUGCGCCCCGCAAGCUCCUCUACAGAAAGAAAGAAAUAAAGAGAAAAGCAGGAGGGUUGGACCCGGCCAAAGAAAAGUCAGAAGGCCGGCUCGCAAAAAAAAAACAAAAGAAAAGAAGGGGGAGCUGUGUCCGACUGCUCGAAGCCGGCUGCCAGAGAGGAGAAAAGUCAGUGGCCGGGUGCUGCAAAGAGAAAAGAAAAACGUCCGGCUGCUCAUAG